GGGUCAGUAGGUUGGUCGUGCCACCGGUACGUACUGGUCUCACUGAUUCCUCCUUCCUGAAGAACCGUAAUGCCAUUAAUUUGGUGUUGCGGGGAAACAGGACUGUUACUUUGAAAAAAUUAGAGUGUUUAAAGCAAGCUAACGCUUUAAUACAUUAGCAUGGAAUAAUGAAAUAGGGCGAUCGAUCCUAUUUUGUUGGUUUCUAGGAUUGACGUA
rnacentral:rRNA from 1 species